rnacentral:rRNA from 1 species
UACGGGGGGAGCAAGCGUUGUUCGGAUUUACUGGGCGUAAAGGGCGCGUAGGCGGCACCGCAAGUCGACUGUGGAAUCUCCGGGCUUAACUCGGAAAGGUCAGCCGAUACUGCGGGGCUAGAGUGCAGAAGGGGCAACUGGAAUUCUCGGUGUAGCGGUGAAAUGCGUAGAUAUCGAGAGGAACACCUGCGGCGAAGGCGGGUUGCUGGGCUGACAUUGACGCUGAUGCGCGAAAGCUAGGGGAGCGAACGGG